rnacentral:rRNA from 1 species
ACGGACUUAAGCAAAGCACUGUGUGCUUUGGGAUCGACAAAGGUUGGUUGCCAAGGGGAACAAAUGUGCAGAACAAAGCACAGAGUGCUUUGCUUAAGUUAGUGGCGGACGGGUGAGUAACGCGUGAGCAAUCUGCCCUUCAGUGGGGAAUAACAGUGGGAAACCGCUGCUAAUACCGCAUAAAGUACGAGAGUGGCAUCACUUUUGUACCAAAGGAGUAAUUCGCUGAAGGAUGAGCUCGCGUCUGAUUAGAUAGUUGGUGAGGUAACGGCUCACCAAGUCGACGAUCAGUAGCCGGACUGAGAGGUUGAACGGCCACAUUGGGACUGAGAUACGGCCCAGACUCCUACGGGAGGCAGCAGUGGGGAAUAUUGGGCAAUGGGCGAAAGCCUGACCCAGCAACGCCGCGUGAAGGAAGAAGGCUUUCGGGUUGUAAACUUCUUUUAUGUGGGAAGAAAAAAAUGACGGUACCACAUGAAUAAGCCACGGCUAACUACGUGCCAGCAGCCGCGGUAAUACGUAGGUGGCAAGCGUUGUCCGGAUUUACUGGGUGUAAAGGGCGCGUAGGCGGGACUGUAAGUCUGAUGUGAAAUACCCCGGCUCAACCGGGGGGCUGCAUUGGAAACUAUGGUUCUUGAGUGACGGA